ensembl:lncRNA
GAAAAAUGCAGUAAAAUAUACCCCCAAACCCUGAGUUUUUUUGCUUUAAAUUGCGCAUGCGUCAGCCCGCGUUUUUGAGUGAGUGUGGGCGACGCUGGAUCCUCUCUCUGGCUGCCAUCGAACAGCAGAAGUGAAGAACAUGUUUGAAGCUUUUCAAAAACUUUUUUUGGAAAUUGAUGGGGCAAAACUACUGAAAAAGGUCCACAGCCUCAAAAAUAAGCUCAUGCAGUAAACACACAUUUCCCCUGUUGUUCGAAGAGGAUCUUUUGUCUGGACAUACUUUUAAUGGAGUUGUAAUGUAGUGUAGUUUUAUAUUUUUCUUCUUUUCCCUUAUUUGCUCCAGACACAGAUCCAUCCACUCUCUCUCAGCCCACUCCAUUGCUCUGUGAUUUCCCCUAGAUUGACAGAAAAGGAAUACCAAUAGAAAGUUGCCGGAAGAAUUUUGAUCUCUCCUUCUACCCUCCCCCCAUUUGAGAGUGAGAGCAAGCUCAAAAACUAAAGAAUGUUGGUGUUCUGUUUUA